rnacentral:rRNA from 1 species
UGGGGAAUUUUGGACAAUGGGCGCAAGCCUGAACCAGCCAUCCCGCGUGAAGGAUGAAGGUCCUAUGGAUUGUAAACUUCUUUUAUACACCAAGAAAAACUCGAACGUGUUCGAGCCCGACGGUAGUGUAUGAAUAAGCAUCGGCUAACUCCGUGCCAGCAGCCGCGGUAAUACGGAGGAUGCAAGCGUUAUCCGGAUUCAUUGGGUUUAAAGGGUGCGUAGGCGGCUUUUUAAGUCAGUGGUGAAAUCCUGCCGCUUAACGGUAGAAUUGCCAUUGAUACUGAAAAGCUUGAGUACAAUUGAGGUAAGCGGAAUGUGUAGUGUAGCGGUGAAAUGCUUAGAUAUUACACAGAACACCAAUUGCGAAGGCAGCUUACUAAAUUGUUAUUGAUGUUGAUGUAUGAAAGUGUGGGGAGUGCAUA